rnacentral:rRNA from 1 species
GAUUUAGCGGCGGACGGGUGAGUAAUGCCUAGGAAUCUGCCUGAUAGUGGGGGAUAACGUUCCGAAAGGAACGCUAAUACCGCAUACGUCCUACGGGAGAAAGCAGGGGACCUUCGGGCCUUGCGCUAUCAGAUGAGCCUAGGUCGGAUUAGCUAGUUGGUGAGGUAAUGGCUCACCAAGGCGACGAUCCGUAACUGGUCUGAGAGGAUGAUCAGUCACACUGGAACUGAGACACGGUCCAGACUCCUACGGGAGGCAGCAGUGGGGAAUAUUGGACAAUGGGCGAAAGCCUGAUCCAGCCAUGCCGCGUGUGUGAAGAAGGUCUUCGGAUUGUAAAGCACUUUAAGUUGGGAGGAAGGGCAUUAGCCUAAUACGUUAGUGUUUUGACGUUACCGACAGAAUAAGCACCGGCUAACUUCGUGCCAGCAGCCGCGGUAAUACGAAGGGUGCAAGCGUUAAUCGGAAUUACUGGGCGUAAAGCGCGCGUAGGUGGUUCGUUAAGUUGGAUGUGAAAGCCCCGGGCUCAACCUGGGAACUGCAUCCAAAACUGGCGAGCUAGAGUACGGUAGAGGGUGGUGGAAUUUCCUGUGUAGCGGUGAAAUGCGUAGAUAUAGGAAGGAACACCAGUGGCGAAGGCGACCACCUGGACUGAUACUGACACUGAGGUGCGAAAGCGUGGGGAGCAAACAGGAUUAGAUACCCUGGUAGUCCACGCCGUAAACGAUGUCAACUAGCCGUUGGGGUCCUUGAGAACUUAGUGGCGCAGCUAACGCAUUAAGUUGACCCGCUGGGGAGUACGGCCCGCAGGUUAAAACUCAAAUGAAUUGACCGGGGGCCCGCACAAGCGGUGGGACAUGUGGUU